rnacentral:rRNA from 1 species
GACGAACGCUGGCGGCGUGCUUAACACAUGCAAGUCGAACGGAAAGGCCCUGCUUUUGUGGGGUGCUCGAGUGGCGAACGGGUGAGUAACACGUGAGUAACCUGCCCUUGACUUUGGGAUAACUUCAGGAAACUGGGGCUAAUACCGGAUAGGAGCUCCUGCUGCAUGGUGGGGGUUGGAAAGUUUCGGCGGUUGGGGAUGGACUCGCGGCUUAUGAGCUUGUUGGUGGGGUAGGGGCUUACCAAGGCUGUGAAGGGUAGCCGGCCCUAGAGCGUGGCCGGCCACCUUGCGCCUGCGAUACGCACCAGUCUCCUACGGUAGGCAGCAGUCGGAAACCUUGCACAGUGAGCCCAAGCCUGUUGCAACAACGCCCCGUGCGGGAUGCCGGCCUUCGGGGUGUAAACCGCUUUCGCCUGUGACGACGCGUGAGUGACGGUAAUGAGUAAAGAAGCACCGGCUAACUACGUG